UUGCGGUAAAAAAGCUCGUAGUUGGAUUUCUGUUGAGGUUGGCCGGUCCACACAAUGUGUUGGCAUCUGGUUUCUAACCUCGGCAUCCUCUCGAUGAACGUUUCUGCGCUUGAUUGCGUGGAGCGGGCUUCGGGACUUUUACUUUGAGGAAAUUAGAGUGUUCACGGCAGGCUAUCGCCAGAAUACGUUAGCAUGGAAUAAUAAUAUAGGAUCUUGGUUCUAUUUUGUUAGUUUCUAGAAUUGAGAUAAUGAUUAAUAGGGACAAUUGGGGGCAUUCGUAUCAACACGUCAGAGGUGGAAUUCUUGGAUUGUGUUGCGACGAACCUACUGCGAAAGCAUUUGCC
rnacentral:rRNA from 1 species